rnacentral:rRNA from 1 species
AACGAACGCUGGCGGCAGGCCUAACACAUGCAAGUCGAGCGGCACCUUCGGGGUUAGCGGCGGACGGGUGAGUAACGCGUGGGAAUAUGCCCUUCUCCACGGGAUUCUCCUGGGAAACUGGGGGUAAUAUCGGAAACGUUCCGCGGGGGAAAGAUAUGACGGGGUAGGAUUAGCACGCGUUGGAUUAGGUUGUUGGUGGUGUAAGGGCCUACCACGCAGUCGAUACUUAGCCGGGUUGAGAGAAUGAUCAGCCACACUGAGGCGGGGACGCAGCCCAGACUCCUACGCGAGGCAGCAGUGGCUAAUCUUGGACUAUCGGGGCAGCCCUGAACGAGCCAGGCCGCGUGAGUGAUGAAGGUCUUAGGGUAGUAAAGCUCUUUCAGCUGGGAAGAUAAUGACGGUACCAGCAGAAGAAGCCCCGGCUAACUCCGUG